rnacentral:rRNA from 1 species
UACGAAGGGGGCUAGCGUUGCUCGGAAUGACUGGGCGUAAAGGGCGCGUAGGCGGUUGACACAGUCAGGUGUGAAAUUCCCGGGCUUAACCUGGGGGCUGCAUUUGAGACGUGUUGACUAGAGUGUGAGAGAGGGUUGUGGAAUUCUCAGUGUAGAGGUGAAAUUCGUAGAUAUUGGGAAGAACACCGGUGGCGAAGGCGGCAACCUGGCUCAUAACUGACGCUGAGGCGCGAAAGCGUGGGGAGCAAACAGGAUUAGAUACCCUGGUAGUCCACGCUGUAAACGAUGUGUGCUGGAUGUUGGGUAACUUAGUUACUCAGUGUCGUAGCUAACGCGAUAAGCACACCGCCUGGGGAGUACGGCCGCAAGGUUGAA